UGGGGAAUAUUGGACAAUGGGCGAAAGCCUGAUCCAGCAAUGCCGCGUGUGUGAAGAAGGCCUGAGGGUUGUAAAGCACUUUCAGUAGUGAAGAAAAAUUUAGAGUUAAUACCUUUAAGUCAUGACGUUAACUACAGAAGAAGCACCGGCUAACUCCGUGCCAGCAGCCGCGGUAAUACGGAGGGUGCGAGCGUUAAUCGGAAUUACUGGGCGUAAAGCGCGCGUAGGCGGUUUUGUAAGUCGGAUGUGAAAGCCCAGGGCUUAACCUUGGAAUUGCAUUCGAUACUGCAUCACUAGAGUAUGGUAGAGGGAAGUGGAAUUUCCGGUGUAGCGGUGAAAUGCGUAGAGAUCGGAAGGAACAUCAGUGGCGAAGGCGACUUCCUGGGCCAAUACUGACGCUCAGGUGCGAAAGCGUGGGGAGCAAACAGG
rnacentral:rRNA from 1 species